AUGCACGCUGGCGGCGUGCCUAAUACAUGCAAGUCGCGCGAACAGACGAGGAGCUUGCUCCUCUGACGCUAGCGGCGGACGGGUGAGUAACACGUGGAUAACCUACCUAUAAGACUGGGAUAACUUCGGGAAACCGGAGCUAAUACCGGAUAAUAUAUUGAACCGCAUGGUUCAAUAGUGAAAGACGGUUUUGCUGUCACUUAUAGAUGGAUCCGCGCCGCAUUAGCUAGUUGGUAAGGUAACGGCUUACCAAGGCAACGAUGCGUAGCCGACCUGAGAGGGUGAUCGGCCACACUGGAACUGAGACACGGUCCAGACUCCUACGGGAGGCAGCAGUAGGGAAUCUUCCGCAAUGGGCGAAAGCCUGACGGAGCAACGCCGCGUGAGUGAUGAAGGUCUUCGGAUCGUAAAACUCUGUUAUUAGGGAAGAACAAAUGUGUAAGUAACUAUGCACGUCUUGACGGUACCUAAUCAGAAAGCCACGGCUAACUACGUG
rnacentral:rRNA from 1 species